rnacentral:rRNA from 1 species
GAUGAACGCUAGCGGCAGGCCUAAUACAUGCAAGUCGAGGGGUAGAAGAGAGCUUGCUUUCUUUGAGACCGGCGCACGGGUGCGUAACGCGUAUGCAACCUACCUUGAUCAGGGGGAUAGCCCGAAGAAAUUCGGAUUAACACCGCAUAAGAACACAGAGUGGCAUCACUUAGUGUUUAAAUAUUUAUAGGAUCAAGAUGGGCAUGCGUGACAUUAGCUAGUUGGUGAGGUAACGGCUCACCAAGGCGACGAUGUCUAGGGGAUCUGAGAGGAUGACCCCCCACACUGGUACUGAGACACGGACCAGACUCCUACGGGAGGCAGCAGUAAGGAAUAUUGGUCAAUGGAGGCAACUCUGAACCAGUCAUGCCGCGUGCAGGAAGACGGCCCUAUGGGUUGUAAACUGCUUUUAUACGGGAAUAAACCCCUUUACGUGUAAAGGGUUGAAUGUACUGUAAGAGUAAGGAUCGGCUAACUCCGUGCCAGCCGCCGCGGUAAAAC